rnacentral:rRNA from 1 species
GGGGAAUAUUGCACAAUGGGCGCAAGCCUGAUGCAGCGACGCCGCGUGAGGGAUGACGGCCUUCGGGUUGUAAACCUCUUUCGCCAGGGACGAAGCGCAAGUGACGGUACCUGGAGAAGAAGCACCGGCCAACUACGUGCCAGCAGCCGCGGUAAUACGUAGGGUGCGAGCGUUGUCCGGAAUUACUGGGCGUAAAGAGCUCGUAGGCGGUUUGUCGCGUCGUCUGUGAAAUUCUGCAACUCAAUUGCAGGCGUGCAGGCGAUACGGGCAGACUUGAGUACUACAGGGGAGACUGGAAUUCCUGGUGUAGCGGUGAAAUGCGCAGAUAUCAGGAGGAACACCGGUGGCGAAGGCGGGUCUCUGGGUAGUAACUGACGCUGAGGAGCGAAAGCGUGGGGAGCAAAC